GGGGACGUCACGGUUUCGACGGGAUGUGAAAGCGAUGAAGUGCAUGCCGCUGGCGAUGGCCCCGCGUUAAAAAACUGUCAAAUCAUAGUCGCAAAUAACGACUUCGAAUACAAACUGGCUGCCUAAUAACCAGCUAGGGCUCCGGAGCUCUCCCUUCCGGCGGGGACUUUAGGGCUUUUAUUUAGUCGGAAUAUGGCAAAGUACGCCUCGGUACCGCGCUGAAUUUUUUAAGAGGAUCGCCUAUGGCUUGUCUGUUACAGAGCCGGCUGUAGGUUAAAUGACUCUGUAACUACGCAUGUAGGACUUCACGUGCUAGCGUUUCGGACGCGGGUUCGACUCCCGCCGUCUCCACCA
rnacentral:tmRNA from 1 species